rnacentral:tRNA from 4 species
GGAAGCUUGGCAGAGUGGUCGAUUGCACCGGUCUUGAAAACCGGCGAUGGGAAACCAUCCGUGAGUUCGAAUCUCACAGCUUCCGCCA